UCAAAUUUGAAAUCUGGCUCUUUCAGAGUCCGAGUUGUAAUUUGCAGAGGGCGCUUUGGCGUUGGCAGCGGUCCAAGUUCUUUGGAACAGGACGUCACAGAGGGUGAGAAUCCCGUACGUGGUCGCUAGCCUUCGCCGUGUAAAGCCCCUUCGACGAGUCGAGUUGUUUGGGAAUGCAGCUCUAAAUGGGAGGUAAAUUUCUUCUAAAGCUAAAUACUGGCCAGAGACCGAUAGCGCACAAGUAGAGUGAUCGAAAGAUGAAAAGCACUUUGGAAAGAGAGUCAAAUAGCACGUGAAAUUGUUGAAAGGGAAGCGCUUGCAGCCAGACUUGCCUGUAGUUGCUUAUCUAGACUUUUGUCUAGUGCACUCUUCUGCGGGCAGGCCAGCAUCAGUCUAGGCGGUUGGAUAAAGGUCUCUGUCAUGUACCUCUCUUCGGGGAGGCCUUAUAGGGGAGACGACAUGCAACCAGCCUGGACUGAGGUCCGCGCAUCUGCUAGGAUGCUGGCGUAAUGGCUGUAAGCGGCCCGUCUUGAAACACGGACCAAGGAGUCUAACAUCUAUGCGAGUGUUUGGGUGUCAAGCCCAGACGCGUAAUGAAAGUGAACGGAGGUGGGAACCCUUUGGGUGCACCAUCGACCGAUCCUGAUGUCUUCGGAUGGAUUUGAGUAAGAGCAUGGCUGUUGGGACCCGAAAGAUGGUGAACUAUGCUUGAAUAGGGUGAAGCCAGAGGAAACUCUGGUGGAGGCUCGCAGCGGUUCUGACGUGC
rnacentral:rRNA from 1 species